UGGGCGCAAGCCUGAUCUAGCCAUGCCGCGUGAGUGAUGAAGGCCCUAGGGUCGUAAAGCUCUUUCAACUGUGAAGAUAAUGACGGUAGCAGUAGAAGAAACCCCGGCUAACUCCGUGCCAGCAGCCGCGGUAAUACGGAGGGGGUUAGCGUUGUUCGGAAUUACUGGGCGUAAAGCGUACGUAGGCGGAUUAAUAAGUUAGAGGUGAAAUCCCAGGGCUCAAUCCUGGAACUGCCUUUAAAACUGUUAGUCUUGAGAUCGAGAGAGGUGAGUGGAAUUCCAAGUGUAGAGGUGAAAUUCGUAGAUAUUUGGAGGAACACCAGUGGCGAAGGCGGCUCACUGGCUCGAUACUGACGCUGAGGUACGAAAGUGUGGGGAGCAAACAGGAUUAGAUACCCUGGUAGUCCACACCGUAAACGAUGAAUGCCAGACGUCAGCAAGCAUGCUUGUUGGUGUCACACCUAACGGAUUAAGCAUUCCGCCUGGGGAGUACGGUCGCAAGAUUAAAACUCAAAUGAAUUGACGG
rnacentral:rRNA from 1 species